CGCCUCUCCCAUCCCGCUCCCGAUCUCGAGAAGUUCGCCAAUGCCGCCCCGGGGCCGGUGAGAGGGAAACGAUGACCGGCACAGCAGAUUCCUCAUGGCCUCGAGGAAGUGGAUCGCCACCUUUCGUAGGCCAAAACAAAUCUUGAAGAGUGCCAACUUCAGUCGGUGGUCAGUGACAAUCUAAGCUCCACUCGUGCUGUUGACUCUGCAGGACUUCAGGUAUUUGGGAUCAUGUUCAAUAAUGUCCUUGUCUCAUGGACUUUGAAUGAAGAGGAGGAUCAAGGUCAAAUGGCUUCUGAGUUUAUCCUAUCUCGAGUCCUGUGUUUUGACAGCACUCGUUGGCGACAACUCUCGUAAAGCUCCCUUGUCCAAAUGAUGGAACUUUUUCUAUAGGAGUAGUCAGUAGCUUUGUGAUGUGUAGAUGAUGCCUUUUGCACCUCGUCCAAAGAACACCAACGAUGGUGUCCUACUUCCUAGUCUAUAUGCGAUGAUAUAUGCCAUGCACACCUUGUCGUGGGUCCAUUCGCAUUUGCAUAUAUUAACCAUCCGAAUGACAUGGUCAUCACUUCAUUGCAUGACCUUCCUGUCUCUUUGGUCUAC